UUUGUCAUUCAAAGGAGAUCGCUGUCUGGAUAGCAUUUUUGUCUCUUUUUCCUGCUUUCUUUUUCUCCCAUCCCUGUUAGAAAUGAUAUAAAGAAGGGAUAUUUAUAAAGAAGAGGAGGGGAUCUAUUUCAAAUACUGAUUUCUUCUGGUGCAGCAUCAGUGUUUGUGCUACCAGACACAGGAAGAGAUUACUCAUAUUUUUUCUUGUUUGUUUUUUUCCCAAUCCCUGUUCUUCCCUUUGCUCCUUUGUUUUUCCUUUCUUUUGCUUUGUUUGCUUGUUUGUUUCAAUUUCUAGAUACUUCAUAGAGAUGCUGAUCUUCCUUUCUUAGACUCAGGCUUGCCUACUGUAAGCAGAAGAUUAUUGAAGCUGCUGGACUCUGCUGAGCAAACUGCAGCCUCCUGAUACUCAUUGUAGGGCCGCAGGGGACCAGGAGGCUGGUCUCAAUGUCAGUCUGUCUGGAGCAGUGGUGCACAUGGCUCCCUUCAGCCUAGUGAUGAAAAGGGAAAUGGGAUGAGGUCUUCACUACCGAGAAAGGUUACUCAGAAGUCAAGUGCUAUGUGCCAGGACGCGGUCAGGCCAGGAUGAGGAAGCACCUAAGGAAGCUGUGAUCCAUAAUUCCGAGUGCCUGGUGCUGCCUAGCCUGCAAGAGAAUUGCUCGGUGUGAAAGGAGGAAAAGCCAGCCUUGGCUUCAAGCAGUCACUGACAAUUCCCAGCAUAUGGUAAGAGAGGGAGCUUCCGCCUACCCCAUCAGGUAAGUGCCAUCUUCCUUACUACAGGCAGCAAUGAUCGAUGUCACGCUUGGAGAGCACUGGCUGCUGGGAGAGGAGCCAAGUGGCCAACUGUCCGAUACAACAGAACAGGUCAGCAUGGACAAGGCCUCUGGGUGGGGAAGGCAUGCUAGCAUAAGCAUGCAACCAGGAAAUGUGUUGUCUUGAUACACUGUCAUGUGCUUUGAGUUUUUGGCUCCAAAGCCCAGUUUGAAAAGUUUAUAUUGCUUACAUUUGGGUUUCGAAAGGUGUGCUGGAAUUUUUGCAUGUGCCUCUCAGCAAAUACAGCAUUGCUUGUGUGCCGUUCCCUUUCUCUGUUUUCUUCUCUUUUUUGUCUUCCCCUGUCUUUUCACGUUGUUUUUAUAGCUAGUUAUUCCUCUUUGGCUGGAGGAAGACCUGAUCACACCUUCAUUCCAGUUCUGCUCAUGAUAUUUCCAUUAUUUCAGAGCAGUGCACUGCAGAGGCAAACACCAAGACAGACUUCAUAGGGUAACCCUAAGCCUGCCCUGUGUAGUCCCAUGCAAUGGUUCAGAGCCAGCUUGGCCUCAGGUCCUCCUUCCCAAACCUUUUCUUGCAUAUGCUCUGCAGCAUCACAUGGGGUUUGGAUGCUUCAGAGCUGCACGUUUAGGACUGCAGAUGGCUGCAACACGGCUGGGAGAGGAACAAGGUCCUGCAUUGUGGUCUCAUGCACCCCAGAGGGUGGAUAGAACAGGGGGCAAUGUGAAGAUCAGGCCCCAGGCCCCUUGGGCUUUCUCUAAGACAGCCUUGCUCUGCCUCCAUGAGGCAGGUCUGCUCCCAGGCUCCCGGAACAGAUAAGAACCUUCAAGGCCCCAUUGAGCCAUUAAGACCAGAUCCUCUGCUGUAAAUCAGAGCAGCUCCAUAACAUUUUUUCCCCUCACCUGAGCCCUGACCUAGAGGGACCACAUCUAGUGGAAAGAGGGUAAUUCAUUCUCCAUGCUCACUCAAUCCAUAGACCCUCGGCCAAGGAUGCUUAUUAUUGCUAACAGGAGUGCUGUUCUUUAUCAUACUGGCAGGGCUAAGAGAGCCCUAACUCAUUUCACAUACAGCUCUGAAUAGCCAUUAGCUGGUAAAAAGUUUUGGUGAGAUCCAAACUGAGCUGUUCUCCAUUUAUCCUAAUGAGGACUGUGCACUUUGCAGUUUGUUCUCCAACACAGAAAUAAACUGUCAGUGGCUUCUUUUCUGCCACAGAUUGAUCUAAUACAACUGCCUCAACGCACUUUGCUUGUGCAGACGGUUCCAGUGCACAUUACUGUCAUUUCUGAUGCCCUAAAAGCUACUGCCUUCUCCCUCCCAUGCUCUUAAAUGCCUUAAAUGCUCUUAAAAAGUGUGGUGACACUUUUACGGGUGAUGGGGCAAGGGUCACGUGCUGAAUCUUUGCAUGCCAAGAGAUGCAAACAGCAGAUUCCCAUCCCUAAGAGGAAAGCAGAGUCUGAUUUCUUGUUUGUGCCUCCUCGUUACAGAUAAACAAAAAGAAGCAACCUUUCUUAAAUUGAAUUCAUUGUUUUCUGA